GAUGAACGCUGGCGGCGUGCCUAAUACAUGCAAGUCGAGCGAACAGAUAAGGAGCUUGCUCCUUUGACGUUAGCGGCGGACGGGUGAGUAACACGUGGAUAACCUACCUAUAAGACUGGGAUAACUUCGGGAAACCGGAGCUAAUACCGGAUAACAUAUUGAACCGCAUGGUUCAAUAGUGAAAGGCGGCUUUGCUGUCACUUAUAGAUGGAUCCGCGCCGUAUUAGCUAGUUGGUAAGGUAACGGCUUACCAAGGCAACGAUACGUAGCCGACCUGAGAGGGUGAUCGGCCACACUGGAACUGAGACACGGUCCAGACUCCUACGGGAGGCAGCAGUAGGGAAUCUUACGCAAUGGGCGAAAGCCUGACGGAGCAACGCCGCGUGAGUGAUGAAGGUCUUCGGAUCGUAAAACUCUGUUAUCAGGGAAGAACAAAUGUGUAAGUAACUGUGCACAUCUUGACGGUACCUGAUCAGAAAGCCACGGCUAACUACGUG
rnacentral:rRNA from 1 species